GAUCAACGCUGGCGGUGCGCCUUAUGCAUGCAAGUCGAACGGUCUCGAUUUAUCGGGACAGUGGCAGACGGGUGAGUAAUGCGUAGGUGACCUGCCCCCAAGUAGGGGAUAACCUCGAGAAAUUGGGGCUAAUACUGUAUGUGCCGAUAGGGUAGAUACCCUGUCAGUAAAGCCUUCGGGUGCUUGGGAGGGCUUACGUCCGAUUAGCUGGUUGGUAGGGUAAUGGCCUACCAAGGUUAUGAUCGGUAGCUGGUCUGAGAGGAUGGUCAGCCACACUGGGACUGAGACACGGCCCAGACUCCUACGGGAGGCAGCAGCAAGGAAUUUUGUGCAAUGGGCGAAAGCCUGACACAGCGACACCGCGUGGGGGAAGAAGGCCUUUGGGUCGUAAACCCCUUUUCCCGGGGAAGAACAAUGACGGUACCCGGGGAAUAAGCCCCGGCUAACUACGUG
rnacentral:rRNA from 1 species